rnacentral:rRNA from 1 species
GAGCCCAAGAUUGAAAGCUGGCGUCUUCGGCGUCCGCAUUGUAAUCUCAAGAAGUGUUUUCCGUUUCGGACCAUGCCUAAGUCUCUUGGAAAAGAGCAUCAUAGAGGGUGAUAAUCCCGUACAUGGCAUGGAGCGCCCGAGACUUUGUGAUACGCUUUCUAAGAGUCGAGUUGUUUGGGAAUGCAGCUCAAAAUGGGUGGUAAAUGCCAUCUAAGGCUAAAUAUUGGGGAGAGACUGAUAGCGAACAAGUACAGUGAUGGAAAGAUGAAAAGAACUUUGAAAAGAGAGUUAAACAGUACGUGAAAUUGCCAAAAGGGAAGGGUAGGAGGUCAGAGAUGCGUUCUGGGAUUCAGCCUUGCUUUUGCUUGGUGUUUUUCCCAGAUUGCAGGCCAACGUCGGUUUUGGGCACUGGAGAAGGGUAGGAGGAACGUGGCACCCCUCGGGGUGUGUUAUAGCCUCCUACUGGAUACAGCGACCGAGACCGAGGACAGCAGCGUACUCGCAAGAGCGGGCCUUCGGGCACCUUUACGCUUAGGGCGUUGGCAUAAUGGCCCUCUACCACCCGUCUUG